rnacentral:rRNA from 1 species
GACGAACGCUGGCGGCGUGCCUAAUACAUGCAAGUAGAACGCUGAAGAGAGGAGCUUGCUCUUCUUGGAUGAGUUGCGAACGGGUGAGUAACGCGUAGGUAACCUGCCUGGUAGCGGGGGAUAACUAUUGGAAACGAUAGCUAAUACCGCAUAAAAUUGAUUAUUGCAUGAUGAUUAAUUGAAAGAUGCAACUGCAUCACUACCAGAUGGACCUGCGUUGUAUUAGCUAGUUGGUGAGGUAACGGCUCACCAAGGCGACGAUACAUAGCCGACCUGAGAGGGUGAUCGGCCCCACUGGGACUGAGGCACGGCCCAGACUCCUACGGGAGGCAGCAGUAGGGAAUCUUCGGCAAUGGGGGGAACCCUGACCGAGCAACGCCGCGUGAGUGAAGAAGGUUUUCGGAUCGUAAAGCUCUGUUGUAAGAGAAGAACGGGUGUGAGAGUGGAAAGUUCACACUGUGACGGUAUCUUACCAGAAAGGGACGGCUAACUACGUG